GGAGGAAAGCAGGGGAUCGCAAGACCUUGCGCUCAUUGAGCGGCCGAUGCCUGAUUAGCUAGUUGGUGAGGUAAAGGCUUACCAAGGCGACGAUCAGUAGCUGGUCUGAGAGGACGACCAGCCACACUGGGACUGAGACACGGCCCAGACUCCUACGGGAGGCAGCAGUGGGGAAUUUUGGACAAUGGGGGAAACCCUGAUCCAGCCAUGCCGCGUGAGUGAAGAAGGCCUUCGGGUUGUAAAGCUCUUUCAGCCGGAACGAAACAGUCACGGAUAAUACCCGUGACUACUGACGGUACCGGAAGAAGAAGCACCGGCUAACUACGUGCCAGCAGCCGCGGUAAUACGUAGGGUGCGAGCGUUAAUCGGAAUUACUGGGCGUAAAGCGUGCGCAGGCGGUUUUGUAAGUCAGAUGUGAAAUCCCCGGGCUUAACCUGGGAACUGCGUUUGAAAUAGAAGGCUAGAAGGGC
rnacentral:rRNA from 1 species